rnacentral:ncRNA from 14 species
UUGUAUCAUUUUGUUACUAGAAAAUUUUACAACUCGUUCCGAAACAGGAAGCCGGUUGAAAUCCGGCGCGGUCGCGCCACUGUAUUCGGCUGUUUGUCAGCCGUAAGCCAGACCCUGUUUCUCCAACUCGCAAU